GUCUAUGGCCAUACCACCCUGAACACGCCGAUCUUGUCUGAUCUCCGAAGCUAAGCAGGGUCAGGCCUGGUUAGUACUUGGAUGUGAGACAGUGUGCUUAGGAGGUGUGUGGAUU
ensembl:rRNA 5S_rRNA 5S ribosomal RNA